rnacentral:rRNA from 1 species
AGCGUUAAUCGGAAUUACUGGGCGUAAAGCGUGCGUAGACGGUUACGUAAGUCGGGUGUGAAAGCCCCGGGCUCAACCCGGGAAUUGCAUUCGAGACUGCGUAGCUAGGGUGCGGAAGAGGGAAGCGGAAUUUCCGGUGUAGCGGUGAAAUGCGUAGAUAUCGGAAGGAACAUCAGUGGCGAAAGCGGCUUCCUGGUCCAGCACCGACGUUCAGGCACGAAAGCGUGGGGAGCAAACAGG